GACGAACGCUGGCGGCGUGCCUAACACAUGCAAGUCGAGCGAACGGACGCGAAUUUUGCUUUUCUGAUGUUAGCGGCGGACGGGUGAGUAACACGUGGAUAACCUACCUAUAAGACUGGGAUCACUUCGGGAAACUGGAGCUAAUACCGGAUAAUAUUUUGAACCGUAUGGUUCAAAAGUGAAAGACGGUCUUGCUGUCACUUAUAGAUGGAUCCCCGCUGCAUUAGUUAGUUGGUAAGGUAACGGCUUACCAAGGCAACGAUGCAUAGCCGACCUGAGAGAGGGAUCGCCGACAGGGGGACUGGACGACGAGAAAGAGACCUAGGGGAGGCAGAAAUAGGGAAUGGAGGGAAAAGGGGGGAAGACUGAAGAAGGGACGCCGCGUGGGUGAUGAAAGUCUUCGGGUCGUAAAACUGUGUUAUGGGGGAAGAACAUAUUUGUAAGGGACUGAGCACAUCUUGACGGUACCUAGUCAAGAAGCAACGGCUAACUACGUG
rnacentral:rRNA from 1 species